rnacentral:rRNA from 1 species
CAUGCAUGUCUCAGUACAACCGCAUUAAGGUGAAACCGCGAAAGGCUCAUUAUAUCAGUUAUGGUUCAUUAGAUCGUACUCCACAUUUACUUGGAUAACUGUGGUAAUUCUAGAGCUAAUACACGCAAACAGAACUCCGACCGGAGACGGAAGGAGCGCUUUUAUUAGAUCAAAACCAAUAGGCGUCGGCGGCCGGCCGGCUCGUUCCGGUCGCGUCGUCGUCGUUACAUAGCUCGCACGACGAAUCUGAAUAACUUUAUGCCGAUCGCACGGUCUCGCACCGGCGACGCAUCUUUCAAAUGUCUGCCUUAUCAACUUUCGAUGGUAGGUUAUGCGCCUACCAUGGUUGUAACGGGUAACGGGGAAUCAGGGUUCGAUUCCGGAGAGGGAGCCUGAGAAACGGCUACCACAUCCAAGGAAGGCAGCAGGCGCGCAAAUUACCCACUCCCGGCACGGGGAGGUAGUGACGAAAAAUAACGAUACGGGACUCAUCCGAGGCCCCGUGAUCGGAAUGAGCACACUUUAAAUCCUUUAACUAGGAUCAAUUGGAGGGCAAGUCUGGUGCCAGCAGCCGCGGUAAUUCCAGCUCCAAUAGCGUAUAUUAAAGUUGCUGCGGUUAAAAAGCUCGUAGUCGAAAUUGUGUCCCGGGCCGCCGGUUCGUCGCUCGCGACGUCAACUGGCGCGCACGCGGGACGUCAAGCCGGUGCCACGAACCCGCCGACGGUGCUCUUAACCGAGUGUCCAGGCGGGGGCCGGCAACGUUACUUUGAACAAAUUAAAGUGCUCAAAGCAGGCUAAACUGCGCUCGUAUAAUUAGUGCAUGGAAUAAUCGAAUAGGACCUCUGUUCUAUUUUGUUGGCUUUUGUAGAACGCACAGAGGUAAUGAUCAAUGGGUGCGGAUGGGGGCAUUCGUAUUGCGACGUUAGAGGUGAAAUUCUUGGAUCGUCGCAAGACGCACUAAAGCGAAAGCAUUUGCCAAAAACGCUUUCAUCGAUCAAGAACGAAA